UUAAAACUGGAAAUGCAGUAGAUGAAACCACAUUGUGUGGACCCCUUCAUUCCAAGCACUCUAAGGCAUGCUUCGAAGAGGGUAUUAAGAAAAUCAAGGCUCAGGCAAUGAUUCUGUACCUUCAUGUCACUAACGUGCUUAUUCAGCUGAGUGUGCUUAGAAAUUAGCCUUGAGCAUUGAUUGUAUUUAGCACCAUUGUAUCAGAACCGAAGCGUAGGGUACCCCAAUAAAUAAUCAUAAUCACAAAAGGUAGCUUAGUAGUCCGUGCUUAUGUUUUGAUAGUAAUGCAAGGGUUAAGUGCGUCUGAUUUCAUUUAUUGCCUCAUACCUCAGCAUAAAACUUUUGAAUUUUGGACUGGAUACGCUUUUCAGGGCGGCAAAAUUUUGACUGGUGGCUCUGUGAUUGAUCGUGAUGGCAACUUUGUCGAACCGACUGUAGUCGAGAUAUCACAUGAUGCAGAAAUUGUGAGGGAAGAAUUGUUUGGUCCCGUCCUGUAUGUCUUCAAAAUCAAGGUAUGCCGUUUGGAUUACCUACUACUAUGAUGUAGGUUAGUUCUUUCUUCUUAUAUUUUGUCCACGGCCUGCCUUAGAUUGUAUUAGUUUACCUUCAUUCUAUGCUGCAUCGUCCUCUACUAUAUACUUAAUCAAACGCUGGUGCCA
rnacentral:lncRNA from 1 species